AGAGUUUGAUCAUGGCUCAGGACGAACGCUGGCGGCGUGCUUAACACAUGCAAGUGGUGCGACGAACCAGGGCUUGCCCUGGGGCUAAGCCGCGAACGGGUGAGUAACACGUGAGUAAUCUGCCCCGAUGACCGGGACAACCCGAGGAAACUCGGGCUAAUACCGGAUGUGGUGCACAGGUUUAAGCUUGUGUACUAAAGGAAGCUUCGGCCUCCGCAUUGGGAGGAGCUCGCGGCCCAUUAGCUUGUUGGUGGGGUAACGGCCUACCAAGGCAACGAUGGGUAGCUGGUCUGAGAGGACGAUCAGCCACACUGGGACUGAGACACGGCCCAGACUCCUACGGGAGGCAGCAGUGGGGAAUCUUGCGCAAUGCGCGAAAGCGUGACGCAGCAACGCCGCGUGGGGGAAGACGGCCUUCGGGUUGUAAACCCCUUUCAGGAGGGACGAAGGUUCACCGGUGAAUAGCCGUGUGGAUUGACGGUACCUCCACAAGAAGCUCCGGCUAACUACGUGCCAGCAGCCGCGGUAAUACGUAGGGAGCAAGCGUUGUCCGGAAUCAUUGGGCGUAAAGCGCGCGUAGGUGGCUCUAUAAGUCCGUUGUGAAAGUCAAAGGCUCAACCUUUGAAAGCCGAUGGAUACUGUAGAGCUAGAGUCCGGAAGAGGCGAGUGGAAUUCCUGGUGUAGCGGUGGAAUGCGCAGAUAUCAGGAGGAACACCAAUAGCGAAGGCAGCUCGCUGGGACGUGACUGACACUAAGGCGCGAAAGCGUGGGGAGCGAACAGGAUUAGAUACCCNNGUAGUCC
rnacentral:rRNA from 1 species